rnacentral:lncRNA from 1 species
GUCAGAGUGGGGAGCUGGUGUUAGCUGUGGGAUUCACUGCAGCGUCCUACCACAAAGGCAAAGAAGAUGAAAAUGCAGCGUGCAGUGCUGGGCUUGAUUCCCAAGUCGCAGUCGGGCUCCCGCUAUGGGUAGGAGGCUUUACACUCAGCCUGGGUCAGCACCGGAGCAUCCAGGCACUUCAGCUCGUCUGGGUAGUCAGCUGUGAGGAUCAGGAAGAGAUCAAAGAAAGUAGAAAUGUGGGUGAGGCCAGAGAAGGAGACAAUAAUCUGGGAUGGAACAUUGAAGAGGAACACUGCCUCUGGAGAGGACUCCAAAACGUGGUUGAGUUUCUGCAGGAUAUGCAAAAACCAGUCUUCCCCCUGGUGGAACUGUGUGGCUCUUCACUCAGGAUGAGUCUUCAUGCACAAGCCUUGCAGCAUGCACCGGCCACUUACCACCGUUCUCCCAUUACUUUUCCAUCUGCCAUUACUGAACACCA